GCCCCAGUGGCCUAAUGGAUAAGGCACUGGCCUCUUAAGCCAGGGAUUGUGGGUUCAAGUCCCAUCUGGGGUG
rnacentral:tRNA from 1 species